GUUAAUCGCUGUUGACUUCAACCUGCCUGUGGUCUGGCGACCUUACCCGACGAGAUGGAAAACGUUCAACUAAAUUUCACAGUGGCGUCAUGAGAUUCAAGGAUUCUUUGUACUUACAGCGUCCGGUCAUCUCAAGGAUCUUGCCGGGAUGCUGCCUUCUAUUCCUUACUUACUUCCUGAAACUGCUCAUCUGUUGUCCCUCCAUGUGAAGGAGAUCUUCAGAGAUCUUCAAUCAGUGACCUGGAAGCAAGCAGCUAUUCUUCUUGCUGUAUCAGCUAUUCUUCCUUCAUUAUUUCCUGAGUGAACUGGGUAUGGAGUGGAUGGGCCAGCAGGAACUCAUGCAGCAUAGAGCUCUGCACAAUUAACAUGGC